rnacentral:lncRNA from 1 species
UGACCUUUACACCUAACUUGGAAACAAUAAUACAUCACAAAUAAGCCCAACAUGAACUCUGAAUGCCUUGCAAUAUGGUGAAAUUAUGGCAAGACGAGCACAAGGCUUGACAUGGAAAAAAAAGGCUCUAAUGAAUAUAGCUAGGGAUGGCAAUAGAUUGAAUAUGGAUCAAAUUGAUCAAUACCCAUACUCACCCUAUAAUUAAGAAUGCCAUAUCUAUUCCCAUCUCGUAUCUAUCUUGAGUUAGGUUGGAUUGCAUUGAAUAGAGAUGCAGUCAAAUCAGGUCCAAUAGAUAAGAGAGGUCGGGUU